ensembl:misc_RNA Metazoa_SRP Metazoan signal recognition particle RNA
GCCAGGCAUGGUGGUGUGUGCCUAUAGUUCCAGCUACUUGGGAGGCUGAGGUGGGGGGAUCACUUGAGCUUAGGGGUUCUGGGCUGUAUUGUAGUGUGCUCCACCGAUCAAGUGUCUCCACUAAGUUCAACAUCGAUAAUAUUGACCUCCCAUCAAUAUGGGAAUGGGAGACCACCAGGUUGCCUAAGGAAUGAUGAACUGGCCCAGGUCAGAGACAGAGCUGGGCAAAACUCUAGUGCUGAUCUGUAGUGGGACCGUGCCUGUGCAUAGCUACUGCAUGCCACCCUGGGCAACAUAGCAAGACCCUGUCUCUU